AAAAACUGAUGUUCGAGGAAAAAAACUAUACCAAUAAGAAUUUUUGGAGCACUUAAAAACAAUAAAAUACUAUAUUAUUGUAUACAAAUACUAACUUAGCAAUGAUUUGUAUAUAAGGUUUCCAUAAGAGGUCAGUACAAAAAGAUAGUUAGAGACGAUUUAAAGUAGAAGACACAGUAACAAUGUUGCCAUUCAUGAAUAUAGGAGUAUUAACAAGAUUGCAAAUACUUUUUUAAAACUUUGCUAGAUACACCAUAUCAUCCAGAGCAAUAGAAUGUGCAUCACUGCCUCUAUCUAAUGAUAAUUUCAAAUCUUUUUGUAACAACAGUUAACAGGUCUAAAAACAGAUGAUUGAAAUCCAUAUGUUUCUUAUAUCAUCAUCAAACAGAGCCAACUUUGAGUUUUUCAGGAUGAUCAUUAAUGUUGGUUAGAAAUGGUAAAUGGCUGAGGAUAGAAGUUCACCUUGUUAGUUAAGUAUUGACACUAGCAUGAAUUUGCAGCGUUUAGUGCCACAGGUAAUGUGUGUUUUGUGAUUGUGAUGUUAUUGUUGUGAUGUUUUGUGUUGAUAGACAACUUGGCUUACCUUCUCGCUGGUGUCUAUCGUUAAAAAUGAUUAUUAGGUUGUUUUGUUACUCAAACUCUCUACCUCUAAUCAUUCACUAAAAGCCAAGAGAUAAUUUUUAGAAUAACACCAUUUUUUGUUUUAAUGUUGUUUUCACUUUUUUAUCUUAGUUGUUGUCUAUAUUUCACAUAAACAAUCUCAAAGAGUUGAUUUCAGCUUUUACACCUGCUAAUGCUGUCGCGAGUACUCAAAAUUUUAGGAAGUUCUAUUGGUGUGCACAGCAAAUUGAUGCACAACCAAACACUGCUGAAGCUUUAAAUUUGGCUGCUGCGACAGAAAAUAAGUACAUAUUGGCCACAUGUAAAUGCAAAAAUAAAAGAGCAAAAUGUUUCACAGAGUGCAUUAUGCUGUAACUUUUAAUUUAGAAAUGGAAAAAAUGUUGAAGGUUUGCAAUGUUAAAUAAUUUUUUUUUAAAUGUUUUUUACAAUACUAGCUUUUUAAUUUACUGCAUGUGAAGUAAACAUUUUUAUAGAAGAGAGUGUUCCCAAUGAAAAA